UACGGGGGGGGCAAGCGUUGUUCGGAAUUACUGGGCGUAAAGGGCUCGUAGGCGGCCAACUAAGUCGGAUGUGAAAUCCCCAAGCUUAACUUGGGAACUGCAUCCGAUACUGGAUGGCUUGAAUCCGGGAGAGGGAUGCAAAAUUCCAGGUGUAGCGGUGAAAUGCGUAGAUAUCUGGAGGAAUACCGGUGGCGAAGGCGGCAUCCUGGACCGGCACUGACGCUGAGGAGCGAAAGCCAGGGGAGCAAACGGG
rnacentral:rRNA from 1 species